GUUACCAUAGCUUAGUGGUAAAGCUAAGCACUGUUAAUGCUUGUACAGAAGUUCGAUUCUUCUUGGUAACG
rnacentral:tRNA from 1 species